AGUAUUGGGUGUUGCGCGGACGUGCCGCAGCAUCCCCGCCUGGGAAGGCGCCGGAAGAGCCCUCUGCGCUUGCGCAGGUAGCGGGCAGGAGCGGCCCCAGCGCUCGGCGCAUCGGCUCUGGUUCGAGGGCGACACCUUAAGGCCGGCGGGAGCGAGUCUCGUGGCCGCAGAACAUGCGCGAGCCUCUUUUGUUCUGGAACGGGCCCCAGAAGCGGAGCUGCGGAGCUGGGGCCUCACCGUGUCAUGGCCCACCCCCUCAGCUGAUAGGAAGAGAUGGGGUUUCGCCAUGUUGCCCUGGCUGGUCUGGAACUCCUGAGCGCAGCAGAUCCACCUGCCUCAGCCUCCCAAAAUCUGUCCCAUGAUGAAUCUGGGUUGCCCCUGUGUGAGCCCCUUGAACCAACAGAUUGUGGCAGAGUGACAUUGCACCAGUCUGAGACCUACACCUUAAGGAUGCCUGGCAGCUCCUGCUUUUGUGUUCCUCGGAGUCAUGAGCCACGAAGUCAAGCUACCCUGCUGGAGAGACCAGCUGAAGCAGCCUCUUGAAGAGGACCUGAGACUUAAGGCUCAGCCAUCCCAGACUCUGAGUUAAACCUCCAGAUGAGUCCAACCCCACCUGCUAUCUGACUACAGCUACAUAGAUGACAAACCACCUAGGUGAUUCCAGUCAACCCACACAACUGUAAAAGAUAAUAAAACAGUUAAGUCAC